CAAAGACUCAAAACAGAGGCUAGGGCCCGUUUGGAUUUUGAAAAACCAUAGUUUAUUUUAAUUGAAAACAGUGUCAUUGAGAAUUUGUUAUAUUUUUUUAGAAUAAAUUGAGUGUAUUCUAUUUUAAUAAAUGGACGAGGACAAGGAGAACUAUUUUACUAUUUUUCAUUCAUAAAAAUAAUUAAGAAUUUUUUUUUUCAAAUAGCGUUUUUUUAGAAAAAAAGGAGUAGGCAAACAGGUCCUUAGUCCAGCCCAUUAUCAGCCCAGGCCAAACAGGAAAGUGGAUCCAUAACCAACUCUCACACCACUGAAAGAGAAAUGCAUCUCGACUCGAAAAGCCAAAAACCAGAGAAGAAAGAAAUGAAGAGCCGAAGCCUAUAGAAGAAGGAGAAAAGCAGAAUAAACACAGAAUCAGAGAGAGAGAGAGUGAGAGAGAGAGCUUCGGAAUGGGUUGGGGACUGGUGAUUUACGAAGGAGUGGUGGUGGUAGGGUCGCUGUGCCUUCUCGGCUGGGCUGGGCUCUGGUUCCUCAACCGCCGCCUCUACAAGGAGUACGAAGAGAAGCGAGCGCUGGUGCAGAUCCUAUUCAGCGUCGUCUUUGCCUUCUCCUGCAACCUCCUCCAGCUCGUCCUCUUCGAGAUCAUCCCUCUCCUCUCCAAAGAGGCAAGAUGGAUGAACUGGAAGGUGGAUUUGUUUUGUUUGAUACUGUUGCUGGUAUUCAUGUUGCCUUAUUAUCAUUGUUACUUGAUGCUUUGCAACAACGGUGUGAGGAAGGAACGAGCUGCACUUGGAGCUGUCUUAUUCUUGCUGGCAUUUCUCUACGCUUUCUGGCGAAUGGGGAUUCAUUUUCCUAUGCCUUCACCUGAUAAAGGAUUUUUCACCAUUCCUCAGCUGGUUAGCAGAAUUGGGGUCAUUGGUGUGACUGUCUUGGCUGUUCUAUCAGGCUUUGGAGCUGUCAAUUUGCCUUACAGUUAUCUAUCCCUUUUCAUCAGAGAGAUUGAUGAAAUGGAAAUCAAGGCCUUGGAAAGGCAACUAAUGCAAUCUAUUGAGACUUGUAUCACAAAGAAAAAGAAAAUCAUUCUUUCUCAGAUGGAGAUGGAGCGAAUUCAAGGAUCAGAGGAGAAGUUAAAGGCUAGAUCCUUCCUGAAGCGAAUUGUUGGAACGGUUGUACGAUCUGUGCAAGAGGACCAAAGGGAGCAAGAUAUAAAAAACAUGGAAGCAGAGGUACAAGGUUUAGAAGAGCUUUCGAAGCAGCUAUUCUUGGAAAUCUAUGAGCUUCGCCAGGCUAAGGAAGCUGCUGCUUAUUCUCGAACUUGGAGGGGUCACAUGCAGAAUUUACUGGGCUAUGCAUGCUCAAUCUAUUGUGUGUACAAGAUGAUAAAGUCUUUACAGAGUGUUGUUUUUAAGGAGGCUGGCUUUGUUGAUCCCGUAACAAGGACAAUUAGCAUUUUCUUGCAGUUUUUUGAUAUAGGCAUCAAUGCUGCAUCAUUAUCACAGUAUAUUUCUCUGUUGUUCAUUGGAAUGUUGAUCGUUAUAUCUGUACGUGGAUUCUUAUCAAAUCUAAUGAAGUUUUUCUUUGCAGUUUCCAGAGUUGGGAGUGGAUCUUCAAGCAAUGUUGUACUUUUUCUCUCUGAAAUCAUGGGAAUGUAUUUCGUGUCAUCCAUACUAUUGAUAAGGAAAAGCUUAGCAACUGAAUACAGGAUGAUCAUAACAGAUGUAUUGGGUGGAGAUAUUCAGUUUGAUUUUUACCACCGGUGGUUUGAUGCGAUCUUUGUUGCCAGUGCUUUCCUUUCUCUGCUUUUGCUUUCUGCACACUAUACAUCUCGGCAGACUGACAAACAUCCAAUUGAUUAAUAUUUCACAUGGGGGCGGACUUCUACAUUGUUUACUUGUUUCAUCAAGAUGAAAGAGUGGUCAUUUAUCAGGUAAAGAUUCGAGAAGAUGCACAAUAUAUGUGGUUAAAACAAUUUAUUGAAUACCUCAUCUCCGGAAAUUCUCCACACGAGCAACUAAAGGAGGAAGACACCAAGGGUUUCAUGGUGAGGACUGUAUACAAGAACAAGAGGUUAGUAAUUUCAUUGGAAUAUAUUGUGUAUAAUUUCUUCACUGUGGGUAACAAUGUUCAACUACCGACACCUUACCUGUAAGAUUUGAUUUGAAUUUUUUUUUUUUUGGUAACUUGAAGAUUUAAUAUAACCUACAUUCUUUUUGUUACCAGUAAAAAUUAGAAGAAUCGAAUUAAUAAUGCUAGUUGGUGGAA